rnacentral:rRNA from 1 species
GUCUAGCCUGCCCAGUGAUAUAUUAAACGGCCGCGGUACCCUGACCGUGCGAAGGUAGCAUAAUCACUUGUUCUCUAAAUAAGGACUAGUAUCAACGGCAUCACGAGGGUUACACUGUCUCCCCCUUCUAAUCAGUGAAACUGACUUUCCCGUGAAGAGGCGGGAAUUUCCAUACAAGACGAGAAGACCCCAUGGAGCUUUAAACCCAAAGGCAACCUUUAUUAACAUCACUUUAAAAUUUCUAGGCUUCUGCCUAUUGGUUUUAGGUUGGGGUGACCACGGAGUAAAACCUAGCCUCCACGACGAAUAGAUUUCUUCAUCUUAAUCUUAGAGCCACCGCUCCAAGAAUCAAAAACUUGACGCAACCUGAUCCGAUUUUUCGAUCAACGAACCAAGUUACCCUGGGGAUAACAGCGCAAUCCAUUUUAAGAGCCCCUAUCGACAAAUGGGUUUACGACCUCGAUGUUGGAUCAGGGUAUCCCAGUGGUGCAGCCGCUACUAAAGGUUUGUUUGUUCAACAAUUAAAACCCU